rnacentral:rRNA from 1 species
GCAGCAGCCGCGGUAAUACAGAGGGUGCGAGCGUUAAUCGGAUUUACUGGGCGUAAAGCGUGCGUAGGCGGCUAAUUGAGUCGGAUGUGAAAUCCCCGAGCUUAACUUGGGAAUUGCAUUCGAUACUGGUUAGCUAGAGUGUGGGAGAGGAUGGUAGAAUUCCAGGUGUAGCGGUGAAAUGCGUAGAGAUCUGGAGGAAUACCGAUGGCGAAGGCAGCCAUCUGGCCUAACACUGACGCUGAGGUACGAAAGCAUGGGGAGCAAACAGGAUUAGAUACCCGGGUAGUCCCUGUCUCUUAUAC